AUGGCAAACCGAAACCCUCGCCGCCGCUCGCCGGCGGCAGCCGCGGGACCGGGGCUGCUAAUCGGCUUCAGCAUGGAGCAGGCGGAGGCCGCCCACGAGCGCGACGGGCUGGAGCCUGGAACGCUCUGGCUCAGCAUGGAGAUCAUGGCAACGGUCGUAUAUGACGCCCUCCUCCCCCAACCGCCCGUCUCCCCCGCCGCCCCCCUCUCGCUCGCUAGCACGACCUGGGUUCCCGGCGGCGCCGACCGCAUCAGCCUCCUCCCCGACCAGGUCCUCCGUGGCAUCGUCUCCCGCCUCCCCGACGCGGACGCCGCUUGCACCGCGGCGCUCGCCUCGCGCUGGCGCCCCCUUUGGCGCUCCGUGCACCUCGUCCUCGACAACACCCACUUCCUCCCGAGAGGGCGGCCCGCCUUCGGCGUCGCGGACGUGGUCACAGGCGUGCUCGCGGCGCACCCGGGCCCCUUCCGCUGUGUCCACCUCACCUGUAGCGCCAUGGACGCGCACCGGGGCAUGAUCUCCCGGUGGCUCGACAUCCUCGCCGCCAAGGGCAUCCAAGAGCUCGCCUUUAUCAAUCGCCCGUGGCCGCUCGACCUCCGCCUGCCCGCCACGCUCUUCCACUGCGCCACCCUCACCCGCCUCUUCCUUGGCUUCUGGAGGCUCCCGGAAACGGCCGCCGUCCCGCGCUCCGCCGCCUUCCCCAACCUCUGGGAGCUCGCCCUCUGCGUCGUCGUCAUGGAGGACCGCAACCUUGCCUUCCUGCUCGACCGAAGCCCCGCCCUGGAGAUCCUCACCAUCAUUGGGUCACAGACCGGAGUGCGCCUCCGCCUUGUCAGCCAGAGCGUGCGGUGCCUUCAGCUGUGCUUUUGCAUCUUGGAGGAGGUCAUGGUGGUGGACGCCCCUCGCCUGGAGAAGCUCUUGGAGUGGACAACAUGGGAUGAGUCAACCAAGUGUUCCAGGAUCAAGAUUGGCCAUGCACCCAAGCUGCGUGUUCUUGGAUACUUUCAGCCAGGACAGCAUAACUUGGAGAUUAGCAACACCGUCAUCAAGGCUGGGACUAAGGUGAGCACCAGUGCCAGUGUGCCGAGUGUCCAGAUGUUGGCUCUACAACUGAAAUUUGAUGUCCGCAAUGAGCUCAAGAAAGUGCCUAAUUUCCUUAGAUGUUUUCCCAACGUUGAGACACUAUAUAUCCAGUCUGCAAGGGUUUAUGAGGAUCCCACUGGUAAGGUGAGUGCCAAGUUCUGGAUAGAGGGUGGUCCCAUUACAUGUAUCCGGAAGAAUAUGAAGAAGGUGGUUUUCUAUGAGUUGCAAGGGUCAAGAAAUGAAGUUGUGUUCCUCAAGUUCAUCGCCGAGAGAGCUGAAAUGCUAGAGAAGAUGGUGAUUGUGGUGUCAUAUAAGUUCUUAACUUUGGGGGUUGAUGUGAAAGCCACACUCAAGCCUUUGUCUUGCGCAAAAUGGGCCAACGGAGAUUGUGAGCUUCAAGUCUACAAGAGCACAAUCACCAAAAGUGGAGGUCCAGUUUAUAACAUCCGACUAGCAUCUGAGUCUACGUGUGCUGACCCUUUUGACCAUAUCUACUACGAUGAAUUGCUGUAA
rnacentral:rRNA from 1 species